CCCUUAGAUGUUCUGGGCCGCACACGCGCUACACUGAAGGAGGCAGCGUGUACUCCUGGAUCGAAAGAUUUGGGUAACCCGCGAAUCUCCUUCGUGCUAGGGAUUAAGGUUUGCAAUUAUCCUUCAUGAACGAGGAAUUCCCAGUAAGUGCAAGUCAUAAGCUUGCGCUGACUACGUCCCUGCCCUUUGUACACACCGCCCGUCGCUACUACCGAUUGAAUGGUCCGGUGAAAUCUCGGGACGGCGGCUUGGUCGCUUGCGUCCGACUGCUGAAACUUGAUUAAACCAUAUCAUUUAGAGGAAGGUGAAGUCGUAACA
rnacentral:rRNA from 1 species